rnacentral:rRNA from 1 species
GACGAACGCUGGCGGCGUGCUUAACACAUGCAAGUCGAACGGAAAGGCCCUGCUUUUGUGGGGUGCUCGAGUGGCGAACGGGUGAGUAACACGUGAGUAACCUGCCCUUGACUUUGGGAUAACUUCAGGAAACUGGGGCUAAUACCGGAUAGGAGCUCCUGCUGCAUGGUGGGGGUUGGAAAGUUUCGGCGGUUGGGGAUGGACUCGCGGCUUAUCAGCUUGUUGGUGGGGUAGUGGCUUACCAAGGCUUUGACGGGUAGCCGGCCUGAGAGGGUGACCGGCCACAUUGGGACUGAGAUGCGGCCCAGACUACUACGGGAGGCAGCAGUGGGGAAUAUUGCACAAUGGGCGGAAGCCUGAUGCAGCAAAGCCGCGUGCGGGAUGACGGCCUUCGGGUUGUAAACCGCUUUCGCCUGUGACGAAGCGUGAGUGACGGUAAUGGGUAAAGAAGCACCGGCUAACUACGUG